rnacentral:rRNA from 1 species
AUUGAACGCUGGCGGCAGGCCUAACACAUGCAAGUCGAGCGGAUGAAGGGAGCUUGCUCCUGGAUUCAGCGGCGGACGGGUGAGUAAUGCCUAGGAAUCUGCCUGGUAGUGGGGGGUAACGUCCGGAAACGGGCGCUAAUACCGCAUACGUCCUGAGGGAGAAAGUGGGGGAUCUUCGGACCUCACGCUAUCAGAUGAGCCUAGGUCGGAUUAGCUAGUUGGUGGGGUAAAGGCCUACCAAGGCGACGAUCCGUAACUGGUCUGAGAGGAUGAUCAGUCACACUGGAACUGGGACACGGUCCGGACUCCUACGGGAGGCAGCAGUGGGGAAUAUUGGACAAAGGGCGAAAGCCUGAUCCAGCCAUGCCGCGUGUGUGAAGAAGGUCUUCGGAUUGUAAAGCACUUUAAGUUGGGAGGAAGGGCAGUAAGUUAAUACCUUGCUGUUUUGACGUUACCAACAGAAUAAGCACCGGCUAACUUCGUG